CUUGUACUCCCUCCGUUCGGAAUUACUUGUCUUGGAAAUGGAUAUAUCUAGAACUAAAAUACAUCUGGAUACAUCCAUUUCGGCGACAAGUAAUUCCGAACGGAGGGAGUAUGUC
rnacentral:pre_miRNA from 1 species